UGGGAAAUGCACAGCGUGGGCUUGGCUCCCACCAAAGAUGAGAGGGAGAGUGUGGAAGGCAGGCCCUUCCACAGAAAGGAGAACAGAAAGGACAAGAGGGAGGGCCGGGGAGGAGGAGGGAGGAGCAGGCCGGCCCUCCUGCCCUCACAGGGCUGUUUCGAGGGUGCUAACUUCUUGGCUAUUUGGGGAAGCUUUGCCCGCAGAUUCACUACCUCAACCGUCUGGGGCCUCAGCAGCCUGUGACUGUAGAACGAGGUCACGUGCCUCCUCAUUGCUCAGAUUAAAAUCAGGUUGAGACCCCCAGCCUUUGGUGUCAGGACAAACCCAGGGGACCUAUUUCUGAGAGCUCCCCUGGCUGUGCCAAGGGCAUGGUUGGUCAAGGCCCAGUCCCCUCUGUCCUCUGCCCUUUGCUGCCUCUGACGCCCGUGACCUUGGGUGGGCUCCCGCUCCCUCCCUGGGGCUCGGUCAUUCCAGUGAUUCUCCUCUCCCAGUGCCCUGCUCUUAGGGGACAGGGCCUCAACUCCCCCUUGGCUCCUCGGGCCCUUCCCUCAGUUUUCUACGACACAGUGGACCCUUGGCCCUAGUCUUUAAUGAAGCUUUACUGNNAGUUGAGAGUGAAUGAAUGAGAAGCCCAGACCAGUAGGAGCUUGUAAAGAUGCCUCUCUUUAGGGCCUUCCUUUUUUUAAAAGAUAUUUUUCAUGUGGACCAUUUAAAAAGUCUUUACUGAACUUGUUACAAUAUUGCUUGUGUUUUAUGGUUUGGUUUGUAUGUUUUGGGGGUUUUUGGCUGCAGGGCAAAUAAGAUCUUUGCUCCCCAACCAGGGAUUGAACCGUCACCCCCUGCAUUGGCAGGCAUAGUCUUAACCAUUGGACAACCAGGCACAUCCCUGUGUGACCUUUUCUAUCCCAGCCUGGAAGCCACUUAGGAUCUCUUCCACCUCAUUUUCUUCCUUAAGGAAGCCAGGAUCACCGCCCUGCCCACUCACCACCCCACACCCCAGGGGCGGGCCAUGGACUCUACUGCUUAGUAGGGCAAAUGUCAGAGAAUUUGAGACUUGUUUUAGAACCAUGACACUCUCCAGCCAAUUGGACUGAUAAUACCAUUUCAUAUAGAAUGGACGUGCCCUAGUUUAUUUAACCAAACUUUUCCCUAGUGGUUAUUUUCAUUAUUCUGUAUUUUUUCUGGCUGCGAUCUGCAUCUCUAUGCGUGUUGUUGCUGCUGUUUAGUCAUUCAAUUGU
rnacentral:lncRNA from 1 species